CACGCGAUCUUUUCGCCAUGAAGGGUAGCAGGUCGACGAAACAAAGUUGGCGUUCGACGCUACACAUUCAUCAUACCCUGAAUCCCUAAUCUUUUCAUCCGAUCAGGGGCUUAGUCGGCAUCUGUGAUUAUGGUUAUGGUUUCUUGAUGAUCAAACGACUGGGCAUAUAAUAUACUUGCUGCAAAGAUCAUGAAUUUCCAACUUUUCUACAUGAAUCACCACUAAUAACCGGCAACAAGGAGAUGGCUUUUUGUUGAUUGAAUAAGACCCAGAUUCAUACUUCUCAACUCAUUUUGUCUCUCGAUUUGGGAGGAAUUGGUAUCCUUUUUUAUGAAUGAGAAACACAAGAAUGAAAGGGAGAACAAACAACUUAAACCGUAGGCAAGCAAGAAUUCAUCCUUUCUUUUACUUUCUUUCGUUUUCUUACAGCAACAGUGAGGAACAGUCUUAAGGUUUCUUGAUUGGCGUUUUGGGCUGUUGUGAAGCAGGGUUUAUUUCUGCUGAUGAAUUUUUAUCCUUACUGCAGCUUGCAAUGAAUCCUCUGUCCCAGCUCUUGUGCAGUCUUGAACACAACAAAAGUUGAAUCAGGUUCAAAUGUUGCUAUUUUUGGCCUUGGUAAUAGGCACUAAGAGCAUUUGAACAAGGAGCCACAAGUUGUUACAUGGUCUCUACAAUACAGAUCACAUGUGGAAACCGAAGUACACAGAGGGUUUUGACAGAUGAUGGUAGUCAAGCUCAAUGGUUCGUAGAUUGACAAAAAGCAUCCGAAGCAAUUGCUUUGUCAAAAUCAAGUGCAAAAUUGGAGAUCACGUCAUCCAGGGCAUUGAUAUUUCUUGUUAGUUACUUGAGUUUGACGACUUGUUCUAACAUGAGGACGAUGCAACAUUACAUGGUAUCCUAGAAUCAACUAAUUCGAUGAUGCAGCGGUCCAAAGAAUAAUUAUCCUCAUACGCCACCACUCAACAUAUUGUAUUGGUCUUCUCGGUGGAACUAUUGUUUAUUUCAUCUCAAUGCAUGCCUCUCCAAAGGUUUGCUACUCUUCCCUGGUUGACAUUCAUCUUAAUAAUAUAAAUUUGCUUGAUUGGUGACAUUCACAACAGGCUUGCUAGGAACUUUUAUUCUGCAAAAAUUGUAUUUCAUUGUCUUUCUUGGUUAUGCAAGUGUGUUGAUUGAACUUUAUUUAUACUAUACUUACCCUUGUCCAUUGA